rnacentral:misc_RNA from 1 species
AAAUGGCUUCCAAUGCUUCCCCUUCUGAUUCACAAGUACUUGCCAGUUCACAUGUACUUGCUAAUUCCUAGACACUUACUAGAUAAAAGGUACUUGCUAAUUCACAAGUGCCCCUGGUACUACCACUAGUAUCACCCAUUAGCAGUGGCAUAUCUGGACUAAGUACUACUCCUGCUAUGGUACCUGUACCCCAAUAUUGGUACAGCACUUCCCCUACAGCAAGUACCUUAACAACUGGUUCUUUUGGUUCUUGGAUGUUUACUUUGCCUGCCCAACUCAUUUGCCCAAGUUGCAGAAGGUAAUAAUUGAAUUGCACUUACUAUAU